rnacentral:rRNA from 1 species
UACGGAAGGUCCGGGCGUUAUCCGGAUUUAUUGGGUUUAAAGGGAGCGUAGGCCGGUCUUUAAGCGUGCCGUGAAAUUUUGUGGCUCAACCAUGAGAGUGCGGCGCGAACUGGAGACCUUGAGUGCGCGGAAGGCAGGCGGAAUUCGUGGUGUAGCGGUGAAAUGCGUAGAUAUUAGGAGGAACACCAGUGGCGAAGGCGGCUUACUGGACUGUAACUGACGUUGAGGCUCGAAAGCGUGGGGAGCAAACAGG